GGAGCGUGAGGGCGAGAGAAAAGAGUGUGGGGCGGAGAGACCACAUGCGACGUUGCCCCUGCAUGACCGUGCCGGGUCAACGCCAUCACGAUGUCUCCAGGUCAAGCAAACAGGAAUCUAACUGGACACACAACGGGCAAAUGCACAGUAAAAACCAGAGAUAAAAAAGUUUGACAGACAGGCAAAGUUCUACGAAAUUGUUCAAUUUUACUAUGCCUAUUUCCACAGUACAGAAAAUAUAAUGCUCUCCCCCCCCCCCUCAACCCCUUCCUACAGACCCAUUGUGACCCAACAAAAUGUUGACUGUGGCAUAAUGCAGAACGAUCCCAAUCCAACGUCUGACAUUCACUUUGUUCAUGCCCUAGAACGCAAACAAGUGCUAUAGAAAAACAA